rnacentral:misc_RNA from 1 species
GUGAAUCAUCGAAUCUUUGAACGCAAAUUGCACUCUCUGGUAUUCCGGAGAGCAUGCCUGUUUGAGGGUCAGUUUAAAUAAAAAUCGUUGUUGUUGCUUCUUUUCGUGUUGACGCACCGGAUUUGUGUCGUCUUGCUUUUGGGUAAGUGACCUAAAAUUUUGCAUGAUUUUUUCGAACGCAUUUUAAUGAUUUUACGCACGUUUGCGAUAUCGAAUACUAAGUGUCGUCAUCUUCAUGAUUCGCGCAUAUAAUUUCC